rnacentral:lncRNA from 1 species
UUAUGGAUCUCGCUGCGUUAAGCCACCAAUCAUCUAUGGUGAUGUUAGCCGCCCCAAACCAAUGACUGUUUUCUGGUCAUCUACCGCCCAAAGCAUGACUUCACGCCCAAUGAAGGGAAUGCUUACCGGCCCUGUUACCAUCCUCAACUGGUCGUUUGUCCGAAAUGAUCAGCCCAGGUAUGCAGGAGAAAGCCAAUUAAGGCAAAAAAAGAAAAAAGAUCCGAUAUUCUGUAUUUCUACCUGCGGUUUUUGCUUUGCAAUAUAAACAUCUUUCAAUUGCCAAAUUUCCAGAUUUGAGACUUGCUACCAGAUUGCC